rnacentral:rRNA from 1 species
CCUACGGGAGGCAGCAGUGGGGAAUAUUGCACAAUGGGCGAAAGCCUGAUGCAGCAACGCCGCGUGAGUGAAGAAGGCCUUCGGGUUGUAAAGCUCUGUCUUCUGGGACGAUAAUGACGGUACCAGAGGAGGAAGCCACGGCUAACUACGUGCCAGCAGCCGCGGUAAU